rnacentral:rRNA from 1 species
UUCGGGACGCGGACGGCUCAACCUAUCUUGGCGACGCGGGUUUUGCUCCUAACCGGGCAGAGGCUGUGUAGCCAAGGCUUUUACCUUGAAAAAAUUAGAGUGUUCAAAGCAGGCGACCGGUUCGCUUGAAUAGAUUAGCAUGGAAUAAUAGAAUAGGACCUUGGUUCUAUUUUGUUGGUGAAACGAACCACGGUAAUGAUUAAUAGGGACGGUUGGGGGCAUUUGUAUUUAAUAGUCAGAGGUGAAAUUCUUGGAUCUAUUAAAGACAAACUACUGCGAAAGCAUUUGCCAAGGACGUUCCCAUUAAUCAAGAACGAAAGUUAGGGGAUCGAAGACGAUUAGAUACCGUCGUAGUCUUAAACCAUAAACUAUGCCGACUAGGGAUCGGACAGUGCUAUUUGAUGGCCAGUCCGGCACCUUACGAGAAAAUCAAAGUUUUAGCUCCGGGGGGGAGGUAUUGGUCGGCAAGGCUGAAACUUAAAGGAAAUUGACGGGAAGGGCACCACCCGGGAGUGGAGCCUGCGGCUUAAAUUCGACUCAACCACGGGAAAACUCACCCAGGGUCCAGACAUAGUGAGGAUUGACAGAUUGACAGCUCUUUCUUGAUUCUAUGGGUGGUGGUGCAUGGCCGUUCUUAGUUGGUGGAGUGAUUUGUCUGGUUAAUUCCGAUAACGAACGAGACCUCCCCUUGCUAAAUAGUAACGAGAACCUCUCCGGGCGAGACGGACCGACCGUGUGCACGGGCA